rnacentral:rRNA from 1 species
UUGAACGCUGGCGGCAUGCCUUACACAUGCAAGUCGAACGGCAGCACGGACUUCGGUCUGGUGGCGAGUGGCGAACGGGUGAGUAAUACAUCGGAACGUGCCUAGUAGUGGGGGAUAACUACUCGAAAGAGUGGCUAAUACCGCAUGAGAUCUACGGAUGAAAGCAGGGGAUCGUAAGACCUUGUGCUACUAGAGCGGCCGAUGGCAGAUUAGGUAGUUGGUGGGAUAAAAGCUUACCAAGCCAACGAUCUGUAGCUGGUCUGAGAGGACGAUCAGCCACACUGGGACUGAGACACGGCCCAGACUCCUACGGGAGGCAGCAGUGGGGAAUUUUGGACAAUGGGCGAAAGCCUGAUCCAGCAAUGCCGCGUGCAGGAUGAAGGCCUUCGGGUUGUAAACUGCUUUUGUACGGAACGAAAAGCUUCGGGUUAAUACCCUGGAGUCAUGACGGUACCGUAAGAAUAAGCACCGGCUAACUACGUGCCAGCAGCCGCGGUAAUACGUAGGGUGCAAGCGUUAAUCGGAAUUACUGGGCGUAAAGCGUGCGCAGGCGGUUUUGUAAGACAGAGGUGAAAUCCCCGGGCUCAACCUGGGAACUGCCUUUGUGACUGCAAGGCUAGAGUACGGCAGAGGGGGAUGGAAUUCCGCGUGUAGCAGUGAAAUGCGUAGAUAUGCGGAGGAACACCGAUGGCGAAGGCAAUCCCCUGGGCCUGUACUGACGCUCAUGCACGAAAGCGUGGGGAGCAAACAGGAUUAGAUACCCUGGUAGUCCACGCCCUAAACGAUGUCAACUGGUUGUUGGGUCUUCAUUGACUCAGUAACGAAGCUAACGCGUGAAGUUGACCGCCUGGGGAGUACGGCCGCAAGGUUGAAACUCAAAGGAAUUGACGGGGGCCCGCACAAGCGGAGGAACAUGUGGUUUAAUUCGAUGAUACGCGAGGAACCUUACCUGGGUUUAAAUUGGAAAUGUCGUAUUUGGAAACAGAUAUUCUCUUCGGAGCGUUUUUCAAGGUGCUGCAUGGUUGUCGUCAGCUCGUGUCGUGAGAUGUUGGGUUAAGUCCCGCAACGAGCGCAACCCUUGCCAUUAGUUGCUACGAAAGGGCACUCUAAUGGGACUGCCGGUGACAAACCGGAGGAAGGUGGGGAUGACGUCAAGUCCUCAUGGCCCUUAUAGGUGGGGCUACACACGUCAUACAAUGGCUGGUACAAAGGGUUGCCAACCCGCGAGGGGGAGCUAAUCCCAUAAAGCCAGUCGUAGUCCGGAUCGCAGUCUGCAACUCGACUGCGUGAAGUCGGAAUCGCUAGUAAUCGUGGAUCAGCAUGUCACGGUGAAUACGUUCCCGGGUCUUGUACACACCGCCCGUCACACCAUGGGAGCGGGUCUCGCCAGAAGUAGGUAGCCUAACCGCAAGGAGGGCGCUUACCACGGCGGGGUUCGUGACUGGGGUG